rnacentral:rRNA from 1 species
UCCUACGGGAGGCAGCAGUGGGGAAUUUUCCGCAAUGGGCGAAAGCCUGACGGAGCAAUACAGCGUGAGGGAAGACUGCCUAUGGGUUGUAAACCUCUUUUUUCAGGGAGGAAUAAAUGACGUGUACCUGAAGAAUAAGCAUCGGCUAGCUCCGUGCCAGCAGCCGCGGUAAGACGGAGGAUGCAAGUGUUAUCCGGAAUCACUGGGCGUAAAGCGUCUGUAGGUGGUUUAAUAAGUCAACUGUUAAAUCUUGAGGCUCAACUUCAAAAUCGCAGUCGAAACUAUUAGACUAGAGUAUAGUAGAGGUAAAGGGAAUUUCCAGUGGAGCGGUGAAAUGCGUAGAUAUUGGAAAGAACACCGAUGGCGAAAGCACUUUACUGGGCUAUUACUAACACUCAGAGACGAAAGCUAGGGUAGCAAAUGGGAUUAGAUACCCCAGUAGUCCUAGCCGUAAACUAUGGAUACUAGAUGUUGAACAGAUCGACCUGUGCAGUAUCAAAGCUAACGCGUUAAGUAUCCCGCCUGGGAAGUAUGCUCGCAAGAGUGAAACUCAAAUGAAUUGACGGA